rnacentral:rRNA from 1 species
CCUACGGGGGGCAGCAGUGGGGAAUAUUGGACAAUGGGGGGAACCCUGAUCCAGCCAUGCCGCGUGUGUGAAGAAGGCCCUCGGGUUGUAAAGCACUUUCAGUGAGGAAGAACGCCUGGUGGUUAAUACCCAUCAGGAAAGACAUCACUCACAGAAGAAGCACCGGCUAACUCCGUGCCAGCAGCCGCGGUAAUACGGAGGGUGCGAGCGUUAAUCGGAAUUACUGGGCGUAAAGCGCGCGUAGGUGGCUUGAUAAGCCGGUUGUGAAAGCCCCGGGCUCAACCUGGGAACGGCAUCCGGAACUGUCAAGCUAGAGUGCAGGAGAGGAAGGUAGAAUUCCCGGUGUAGCGGUGAAAUGCGUAGAGAUCGGGAGGAAUACCAGUGGCGAAGGCGGCCUUCUGGACUGACACUGACACUGAGGUGCGAAAGCGUGGGUAGCAAACAGGAUUAGUACCCUAGUAGUC